CCUACGGGAGGCAGCAGUGGGGAAUAUCGGACAAUGGGGGAAACCCUGAUCCAGCGACGCCGCGUGAGUGAAGAAGUAUUUCGGUACGUAAAGCUCUAUCAGCAGGAAAGAAAAUGACGGUACCUGACUAAGAAGCCCCGGCUAACUACAUGCCAGCAGCCGCGGUAAUACGUAGGGGGCAAGCGUUAUCCGGAUUUACUGGGUGUAAAGGGAGCGUAGACGGAGGAGCAAGUCUGAUGUGAAAAUCCGGGGCCCAACCCCGGAACUGCAUUGGAAACUGUUUAUCUAGAGUGUCGGAGAGGCAA
rnacentral:rRNA from 1 species